AAGUUUGAAAGGAAGAGUGAACUCCUUUGCUUGACUUGGUGUUUAAUAGAGUCUGAAACAGGAGUGGAGCAGCUGGUGUGAAAUGCUUUUAAUGGCUUGGUCUGCUAAGGAGUUGUUGAGGUCUAAUCCUAUGUUUGUUUAUUCAGGGAUUUCAGGUGCAGAUAGAGGAAACCAAAAAUCCAAAAUGCAAGGCUUACCAAAUCCAAUCCACACUCUAAAGAAUAAUUUCUUGGUUAUCAGAAUUGCAUAAUGAUGUGGGAUGUGGCUGUCUGGGUGUUCAGAGGCAGAGAAAUGCAGAAACUGAAGUCAAGGAAGUCAUAGAAACUUGUGGCAGCAUUGUAAAUAUGAACAGAAGUACUUCAGUCCGAAAAUUUAAGAGUUCGGAAACAGCGGCAUGCACCAUUAGUAAGAUGUAGUAAAGACUGGGAUGAUGAUCUGCAGAAACAGGGAAUGCUGACAUUAGAUUAUAGAUGUGAACCGGGGCAGAGUCCUGUUUGCUGUAGUGAGUGACUGAUUUGUUCAUACACUUCUCAGGUAUCCCUUUCAAGCCAGAGUUUUAGGUCUGCUUCCUGCUACUGGAAUGCUACUCCAAAUCCCAUCACCCUCCCAAACAUUGUGAAGGAAUUUCUAUAAAACAUAAUGGGUUUUUCAUGGAAGAGAUAUUGGAUUUGUU
rnacentral:lncRNA from 1 species